rnacentral:tRNA from 1 species
AGAAACUUAGGAUAACCAACCAAACCGAAGGCCUUCAAAGCCUUAAAUAAGAGUUAAAUUCUCUUAGUUUCUG